AUGGAGAAGGUGGCUGUGCCACCCACAUAUGCCAAUCUUGGCAAAUCUGCCAGGGAUGUCUUCACCAAGGGCUAUGGAUUUGGCUUAAUAAAGCUUGACUUGAAAACAAAAUCAGAGAAUGGAUUGGCAUUUACAAGCUCAGUGUCAGCCAACACUGAGAUCACCAAAGUGACGGGGAGUCUGGAAACCGAGUGCAGACGGACUGAGGACGGCCUGACGUUUGCGGAGGAACCGAACACCGACAAUAACACACUAGGCACCGAGAGUACUGUGGAAGAUCAGCUUGCACGUGGACUCUGACCUAUUCAUCCUUCUCACCUAACACUGGGGAAAAAAUGCUAAAAUCAAGACAGGGUACAGGCGGGGGCACAGUAACCUGGGCUGUGAAGUGGAUUUCGACAUUGCAGGGCCUGCCAUCCGGGGUGCUCGGGUGCUGGGUUACGAGAGCUGGUUACCAGAUGAAUUUUGAGACUGCAAAGUCCUGAGUGACGCAGAGCAACUUUGCAGUUGGCUACAAGACCGAUGAAUUCCAGCUUCCUAUUAAUGUGAAUGACGGGACAGAGUUUGGCGGCUCCAUUUAGCAGAAGGUGAACAAGAAGUUGGAGACCGCUGUCAGUCUCGCCUGCAGGAAACAGUAGCACGCGCUUCGGAAUAGCAGCCAAGUAUCACAUUGACCCUGACGCCUGCUUCUCGGCUAAAGUGAGCAACUCCAGCCUGAUAGAUUUAGGAGACACUCAGACUGUAAAGCCAGGUAUCAAACUGACACUGUCAGCUCUUCUGGAUGGCAAGGGAAUCAAUGCUGGUGGCCGCAGGCUUGGUCCAGGACUGGAAUUUCAAGCAUAAAUGAAUACUGUACAAUUGUUUAAUUGUAAACUAUUUUGCAGCAUAGCUACCUUCAGAAUUUAGUGUAUAUCUUAAUGUUAUAUGUUCGGGAUGCAAGUAUUGCUAAAUAUUUUAGACCUCCAGGUUAAAGAUGAUUCAACUUUAAGAUGUUACCCUUUCAGAGGUACAGAAGAAACCCAUUUCCAAAAAAGAUCCUUUCAGUGGUAGACUCAGGGGGAACCUGGUGGCCCCUUUGAGAUGCCAGGUUUCUUUUUUAUCUAGAAAUGGCUGCAAGUGGAAGCUGAUAAUAUGUAGGCACUUUGUAAAUUCAUAUUGAGUAAAUGAAUGAACCUGAGAAUCGAACCUUGCUUUCCCAACCCUAAUUGAUGAGAGGCUCGCUGCUAGAUGGUGUGUACAAACUCACCUGAAUGGGACUUUUUUAGAUAGAUCUUCAUGACCUGUUCCCACCCCAGUGCAUCGUCACCUCUUUUACACUGAAAGGUCUGCAGGGUGUGGUCACUGUUUCUUUUGUGCCAUUUUGGGGUGGAGAGGGUAGAUGUGAUGAAGCCAAUAAUUCAGGACUUAUUCCUUUUUGUGUUGUGU